CCUACGGGUGGCAGCAGUGGGGAAUAUUGGACAAUGGGCGAAAGCCUGAUCCAGCCAUGCCGCGUGUGUGAAGAAGGCCUUCGGGUUGUAAAGCACUUUCAGUGGGGAAGAAAGCCUUGGGGCUAAUACCCUCGAGGAAGGACAUCACCCACAGAAGAAGCACCGGCUAACUCCGUGCCAGCAGCCGCGGUAAUACGGAGGGUGCGAGCGUUAAUCGGAAUUACUGGGCGUAAAGCGCGCGUAGGCGGUCUGAUAAGCCGGUUGUGAAAGCCCCGGGCUCAACCUGGGAACGGCAUCCGGAACUGUCAGGCUAGAGUGCAGGAGAGGAAGGUAGAAUUCCCGGUGUAGCGGUGAAAUGCGUAGAGAUCGGGAGGAAUACCAGUGGCGAAGGCGGCCUUAUGGACUGACACUGACGCUGAGGUGCGAAAGCGUGGGUAGCAAACAGGAUUAGAUACCCGUGUAGUC
rnacentral:rRNA from 1 species